UACGUAGGUGGCAAGCGUUGUCCGGAAUUAUUGGGCGUAAAGCGCGCGCAGGCGGCCUUUUAAGUCUGAUGUGAAAGCCCACGGCUCAACCGUGGAAGGUCAUUGGAAACUGAAAGGCUUGAGUACAGAAGAGGAAAGCGGAAUUCCACGUGUAGCGGUGAAAUGCGUAGAGAUGUGGAGGAACACCAGUGGCGAAGGCGGCUCACUGGCCCGGUACUGACGCUGAGGUGCGAAAGCGUGGGGAGCAAACAGG
rnacentral:rRNA from 1 species